UUUAAAUGCCUGUGAGAAUCAAGUAUUUCCACAUUCCAUAAAUGCUGAAAAACUAUUUUUUGCUCGUUGUUUACUCUUGAUGUGUACACAGACACCCGACUGCGACGGAAUUUAAAGAAAAGCAAAUGUUUAGUGUUCAUCGACCACCACCUUUAACAGUAUCAGUCGUGGAGAUCAGAUCCAGGUCAGAUUGAGAUCCAUCAUGGAUGAAACACAAACACAAACGUUCACAGAUUUAUCUCAGAUAUGCAGUUCAGUGCAGCAGAAGAGAUCAGAUGCAGAGCCCAGUUGUGACAGCUCUAUAAAACAGCCAUCGAACCUCAAGAGUGAAGAAAGGCCUGCUCUUAGUUUAGUUCGGCAGAAGAGAUCAGAUCCAGGGACCAGCUAUGUGUCUAUGAAGAGUGAUCUGUCUAUGAAACAGCCAUUGAACCUAAAGAGUGAAGAUCAUAGACAAAUCAUAACAGAACCCGUCUGUAAGAUGGAGCUGGAUCAACCACAAGACCUUAAUGAAAACACUUGCUCUGCUUUCAGCCAUGAGUCUACACUUCCUGAAGUCCUCAACAAAUUUAGAUCAUCCCUGAAGACAACGUGUCAGUGUUUGCGUGAGGGAACAUCAAACCAAGGAAGCCCAACGCUCCUAAAUGAGAUCUACACAGAGCUCUACAUCACAGAGAGUGAAAGUGGACAGAUCUGUAAUGAACAUGAGGUGAGACAGAUUGAGACACACUCCAGGAGAACAGCGGCUGAGGACACACCCAUCAAAUGCAAUGACAUCUUUAAACCUUUACUUGCACAAGAUAAACCCAUCAGAACCGUGCUGACAAAAGGAGUCGCUGGCAUUGGAAAAACCGUCUCUGUGCAGAAGUUCAUUCUGGACUGGGCAGAUGGAAACGCCAAUCAGGAUGUCCACCUCGUUUUUCCACUUCCCUUCAGAGAGAUGAAUCUGAUGAAGAGCAAAACGCUUAGUCUUUUAGAUCUUCUUCAUCUUUUCUUCCCGGAGACAAUAGAAACGGAAAUAUUCAGUCCUUCAUAUAAACUAUUGUUCAUCUUUGAUGGUUUGGAUGAGUGUCAUCUCUCUCUAGAUUUUCACAGAGGCGUGAUGUUGUGUGAUGUAAACGAAUCAACCUCCGUGGACGUCAUACUGACAAACCUCAUUGCGGGGAAUCUGCUUCCCUCUGCUCUCAUCUGGAUCACCUCCAGACCGGCAGCAGCUGAUCUCAUCCCCUGUGCAUGUGUCGAUCGAGUCACUGAGGUACAAGGCUUCACUGACAAACAGAAGGAGGAAUAUUUCAGAAAGAGAAUCAGUGAUGGGAGUCGGGACGACAGAAUCAUCUCACACCUGAAGUCAUCCAGGAGCCUCUAUGUCAUGUGUCACAUCCCAGUGUUCUGCUGGAUUUCAGCCACCGUUCUCGAGAGGAUGCUGAGUGAAGCAGAGAGCGGAGAGAUCCCCAAGACCCUCACUCAAAUGUACACGCACUUCUUGAUCCUUCAGACAAACAUUAAACACCAGAAGGAAUAUGAGAAGAGGGAUGAAGACAUGAUCUUCAAACUGGGCAAACUGGCUUUUGAGCAGCUUGUGAAAGGCAAUCUGAUCUUCUAUGAAGAAGACCUGAAAGGGUGUGGCAUUGAUGUAGCCGAAGCCUCGGUGUACUCAGGAUUGUGCACUCAGAUCUUCAGAGAGGAGGUCUGCUUGCGUCACCUGAAGGUUUACUGCUUUGUUCAUCUAAGCAUCCAGGAGCAUCUAGCAGCUCUGUAUGCUCACGUCUCCUUCACAAACGACAACAGAAAUGUGUUGGAUCUUGAGCCGACCUGGUUGUCUAAGCUUUUGAUCCGAAUGAAACAUAAAUCAACAAAACAGGUUGUUUUAUCUGAGCUGCAUCAUAGAGCUGUAGAUGAAGCUUUACAUAGCAAGAACGGACAUCUAGAUCUGUUCCUGCGUUUUCUUCUGGGUCUCUCGCUGGAGUCCAAUCAGACUCUCUUACAGGACCUGCUGACACAGAUGAGAAGAUGCUCGUACGAGAAACAGAAAACUGUUGAGUACAUUAAACAGAAGAUCAGUGAGAAGCCGUCCACAGAGAAAUCCAUCAAUCUGAUUCACUGUCUGAAUGAACUGGGUGAUGACUCGCUGCUGCCGGAGAUCCAACAUUGUGUGCAAUUUGGAACAGUGGGACGCCGCAGAUUCUCCUCUUCACAGUGGACAGCUUUAGAUUUUGUGUUGCUGACGUCCGAGCAGAAUUUGGAUGAACUUGAUCUGAACACAUUUAUUGGUUCUCAAAACAGAGCAGAUGAAGUUCUUGUCAAACUACUCCCUGUGAUUAAAGAAUACAAAAAAGUUCAGAUGAGUGGUUGUGAUAUCACAGAUGAAGGUUGUGCUGCUCUGUCCACCGCUUUGAGAUCAAACCCCUCACAUCUGAGAGAUCUGAAUCUGUUUAAGAUUAAUGUAGGAGAUUCAGGAGUGAAGCUGCUCUCUGCUGGACUGGAGAAUCCUCACUGUAAACUGACGUCACUCAGGUUGAGCUGGUGUGAUAUAACGGAUAAGGGUUGUGCUCCUCUGUGGUCCGCUCUGAGAUCAAACCCCUCACACCUGAGUGAUCUGGAUCUGUCUCAUAAUAGUCUCGGGGAUUCAGGAGUGAAGCUGCUCUCUGAUAUUGAAGCGUUGUGAUAUCACAGUUAAAGGCUGUGCUCCUCUGACUUCAGCUCUGAGAUCAAACCCCUCACACCUGACCGAUCUGGAUCUAUCUGUGAAUAAUUUAGGAGAUUCAGGAGUGAAGCUGCUCUCUGCUGUACUGGAGAAUCCUCACUGUAAACUGAAGAAACUCGACUUGAGCUUCUGUAAUGUCACGGAGGAGGGUCAUGCUGCUCUCAAAUCAGCACUGAGAUCAAACCCCACACACCUGAAAGAUCUGUCCCUCUCAGGGAAUAAUCUGAAACACUAGAAAGUGAAAAACUGAUCCUUAUUAAAAACAAAAGGAAGACAUUACAAUAAUCCAAAACAUAAAAAAAUAUGAGGUUCAUUCACGUUUUCACAAUUAAUUUGAUCUAUUUUUGCUAAGGUUACAGCUGAAUGAUUUUAUUGAUUGUAUAUAUUAUGUAUGUAUGGGAUAUGGAAUGCAUGUAUUAUACACUGUCAUGUUAUGUAUUUAAUAAUGAGUUCUGGUUUUUAUAUCCUAGUUCUUCAUUUUUGACAGUUAAAAAGUUGUUGUUUUCACUAUUUUUUAUCUUAUUUCCUCCGAUUUGUCAACUUUUUUUAAAUAAAUUGUUUAUAAUAUUGUGAAUAAUUCUU